GAUGAACGCUGGCGGCGUGCCUAAUACAUGCAAGUCGAGCGAACGGACGAGAAGCUUGCUUCUCUGAUGUUAGCGGCGGACGGGUGAGUAACACGUGGAUAACCUACCUAUAAGACUGGGAUAACUUCGGGAAACCGGAGCUAAUACCGGAUGAUAUUUUGAACCGCAUGGUUCAAAAGUGAAAGACGGUCUUGCUGUCACUUAUAGAUGGAUCCGCGCUGCAUUAGCUAGUUGGUAAGGUAACGGCUUACCAAGGCAACGGUGCAUAGCCGACCUGAGAGGGUGAUCGGCCACACUGGAACUGAGACACGGUCCAGACUCCUACGGGAGGCAGCAGUAGGGAAUCUUCCGCAAUGGGCGAAAGCCUGACGGAGCAACGCCGCGUGAGUGAUGAAGGUCUUCGGAUCGUAAAACUCUGUUAUUAGGGAAGAACAUAUGUGUAAGUAACUGUGCACAUCUUGACGGUACCUAAUCAGAAAGCCACGGCUAACUACGUG
rnacentral:rRNA from 1 species